rnacentral:rRNA from 1 species
ACGGAGGGUGCGAGCAUUAAUCGGAUUUAUUGGGCGUAAAGGGCGCGUAGGCGGAAGGGUAAGUCAGAUGUGAAAUCCCGGGGCUCAACCUCGGAACUGCAUUUGAAACUGUCCAUCUAGAGGGUAGGAGGAGAAAAUGGAAUUCCACAUGUAGCGGUGAAAUGCGUAGAUAUGUGGAAGAACACCGGUGGCGAAGGCGGCCUGCUGGGUUCUGGCUGACACUGAGGCGCGACAGCGUGGGGAGCAAACAGGA